UACGUAGGGUGCAAGCGUUGUCCGGAAUUAUUGGGCGUAAAGAGCUCGUAGGCGGUUUGUUGCGUCGGCUGUGAAAUCCCGAGGCUCAACCUCGGGUCUGCAGUCGAUACGAGCAAACUAGAGUGUUGCAGGGGAGACUGGAAUUCCUGGUGUAGCGGUGAAAUGCGUAGAUAUCAGGAGGAACACCGGUGGUGUAGACGGCUUACUGGACCACGACUGACACUGAGGCACGAAAGCGUGGGUAGCAAACAGG
rnacentral:rRNA from 1 species